GUUCGUGAGUUGGGAGGCUGAGCCACACCCAAUUGCUGAAUCAUAUGUUAAGCCAAUGCUCAUGAUUGAAACAUCCAUCGGACAAUCAGCAAUAAAUCUGAGCCGUCAUGAUUCGUCUGUUUCUAUACAUAGUGCGACUGUUAUCCCCCCACCAUCAACUGCAAGGUCAGUCUCGAUGAGAGAUAUGGGCACCGAAAUGACUCCAAUUGCAAGCCAGGAACCUUCCAGAACUGGGACACCUGUGAGAGCAACUACACCUACUCGCAGCCCAACUUCUUCUCGGCCAUCAACUCCGGGAGCUGCACCAGCUUCCUCACCUUUUCGUCCUUCAAAUGAUAAUUUGGAUGCUCAUACAAAUGCAUUGUCUGACCAGGAAUUACAGUUGAAAACUCGAAGAGAAAUCAUGG
rnacentral:misc_RNA from 1 species